rnacentral:rRNA from 1 species
UACGAAGGGUGCAAACGUUGCUCGGAAUCAUUGGGCGUAAAGCGCACGUAGGCGGCUUCGCAAGUCGGAUGUGAAAUACCUCGGCUCAACCAAGGACGUGCAUCCGAAACUGUGAGGCUUGAGUACUGAAGAGGAUCGCGGAAUUCCCGGUGUAGAGGUGAAAUUCGUAGAUAUCGGGAGGAACACCAGUGGCGAAGGCGGCGAUCUGGGCAGAUACUGACGCUGAGGUGCGAAAGCGUGGGGAGCAAACAGG